rnacentral:sRNA from 1 species
GCCGGGCGUUGUGGCGGGCGCCUGUGGUCCCAGCUACUUGGGAGGCAGAGGCAAGAGACUCGCUUGAGCCCAGGAGUUGGAGGUUGCUGUGAGCUGUAAUGCCACGGCACUCUACCCAGGGGGACAGCUUGAGGCUGUGUCUCAAAAAAAAAAAAGAAAACUCUAGAUGAUGACAGAUCAGCAAUUGUCUAGAGAAGGGUAGAUGCAGAGAGGUACUUAGGGAAAGAAUUAUUAUUAUUAUUAUUAUUUUUGAGACAGAGCCUCAAGCUGUCGCCUUGGGUAGAGAACCGUGGCAUCUCAGCUCACAGCAACCUCCAAC